rnacentral:rRNA from 1 species
UACUAUGUUACGACUUAUCUCAUCUUAAAUAACGAGAGCGACGGGCGAUGUGUGCACAUUCUAGAGCUAUUAUCACAAAAAUAAUUCUUAUUAUUAAUUACUAUUAAAUCCUCCUUCAUAAAACCUUUACAAAAAAUAAUCCGUUUAUUUUACAAAUAUUGUAAUCCAUCUCCACUUAAAUAUUAACUGCACCUUGACCUGAAAUUAAACUAAAUAAAAUAUAAAGAAUAUUUUACCCUAAAAAGAUAUUCAAUAAACGGCGGUAUACAUACUAAAUUAAAUUAAGUUAGGUUCAACGCGGAUUAUCGAUAACGGGACAGAUUCCUCUAACUAGACUAAAAUACCGCCAAAUUCUUUAAGUUUCAAGACCUUAACUAAUACUACUCAAAUUUAUAAUAAUUUUACAUCCAAAAUAAUAGGGUAUCUAAUCCUAGUUU